rnacentral:rRNA from 1 species
AGAGUUUGAUCCUGGCUCAGAUUGAACGCUGGCGGCAGGCCUAACACAUGCAAGUCGAGCGGUAGAGAGAAGCUUGCUUCUCUUGAGAGCGGCGGACGGGUGAGUAAUACCUAGGAAUCUGCCUGAUAGUGGGGGAUAACGUUCGGAAACGGACGCUAAUACCGCAUACGUCCUACGGGAGAAAGCAGGGGACCUUCGGGCCUUGCGCUAUCAGAUGAGCCUAGGUCGGAUUAGCUAGUUGGUGAGGUAAUGGCUCACCAAGGCUACGAUCCGUAACUGGUCUGAGAGGAUGAUCAGUCACACUGGAACUGAGACACGGUCCAGACUCCUACGGGAGGCAGCAGUGGGGAAUAUUGGACAAUGGGCGAAAGCCUGAUCCAGCCAUGCCGCGUGUGUGAAGAAGGUCUUCGGAUUGUAAAGCACUUUAAGUUGGGAGGAAGGGCAUUAACCUAAUACGUUAGUGUUUUGACGUUACCGACAGAAUAAGCACCGGCUAACUCUGUGCCAGCAGCCGCGGUAAUACAGAGGGUGCAAGCGUUAAUCGGAAUUACUGGGCGUAAAGCGCGCGUAGGUGGUUUGUUAAGUUGAAUGUGAAAUCCCCGGGCUCAACCUGGGAACUGCAUCCAAAACUGGCAAGCUAGAGUAUGGUAGAGGGUAGUGGAAUUUCCUGUGUAGCGGUGAAAUGCGUAGAUAUAGGAAGGAACACCAGUGGCGAAGGCGACUACCUGGACUGAUACUGACACUGAGGUGCGAAAGAGUGGGGAGCAAACAGGAUUAGAUACCCUGGUAGUCCACGCCGUAAACGAUGUCAACUAGCCGUUGGGAGUCUUGAACUCUUAGUGGCGCAGCUAACGCAUUAAGUUGACCGCCUGGGGAGUACGGCCGCAAGGUUAAAACUCAAAUGAAUUGACGGGGGCCCGCACAAGCGGUGGAGCAUGUGGUUUAAUUCGAAGCAACGCGAAGAACCUUACCAGGCCUUGACAUCCAAUGAACUUUCUAGAGAUAGAUUGGUGCCUUCGGGAACAUUGAGACAGGUGCUGCAUGGCUGUCGUCAGCUCGUGUCGUGAGAUGUUGGGUUAAGUCCCGUAACGAGCGCAACCCUUGUCCUUAGUUACCAGCACGUAAUGGUGGGCACUCUAAGGAGACUGCCGGUGACAAACCGGAGGAAGGUGGGGAUGACGUCAAGUCAUCAUGGCCCUUACGGCCUGGGCUACACACGUGCUACAAUGGUCGGUACAAAGGGUUGCCAAGCCGCGAGGUGGAGCUAAUCCCAUAAAACCGAUCGUAGUCCGGAUCGCAGUCUGCAACUCGACUGCGUGAAGUCGGAAUCGCUAGUAAUCGUGAAUCAGAAUGUCACGGUGAAUACGUUCCCGGGCCUUGCACACACCGCCCGUCA